GUGCUCACUUCGGCAGCACAUAUAAUAACAUUAGAAUCAUACAGAGAUUAGCAUGGCCACUGCACAAAGAUGACAUGCAAAUUCGUGAAGCAUUGCAUAUUUUU